UCCAGACUCCUACGGGAGGCAGCAGUGAGGAAUAUUGGUCAAUGGGCGAGAUCCUGAACCAGCCAAGUCUCUUGAAGGAUGAAUUAUCUAUGGUUUUUAAACUUCUUUUAUAUUGGAAUAAAUUUAUUAACGUGUUCCUUUUUGUAUGUACCAUCUGAAUAAGCAUCUUCUAACUCCUUUCCCUAAGCCGCUUUAAUACGGAGGAUUCUAUCGUUGUCCGGAUUUAUUGGGUUUAAAGGGUGCGUAGGUGGGUAAUUAAGUCAGCGGUGAAAGUUUGUGGAUAAACCAUAAAAUUGCCGUUGAAACUGGUUGACUUGAGUAUAUUUGAGGUAGGCGGAAUGAGUGGUGUAGCGGUGAAAUGCAUAGAUAGAAAGAAGAACUCCGAUUGAGAAGGCAGCUUAAUAAACUAUAACUGACACUGAAGCACGAAAGCGUGGGGAUCAAAAAGGAUUAGAUACCCUCGUAGUG
rnacentral:rRNA from 1 species